CCAGUCUUUGCAGCACUGAUGGCUACCUGCUGUUUAUUACUUCAGUGAUGGCUUCUGUGUCUGCACGUAGGGGUCUUCCGAGUCUCUGCUGCUUUUGGCCAUGGGGCCAUGGGGAGGAGAGUUAGAAGUGACUGUGCCUGCCGUUUUUUUCAAGGCUGCUCUGCAAAUUUCUUUGAAUCUCAGUGAAACUGAUAAGGACUAGACAUUUACUGUGCUGAGACUGUGCCAGACUGAUUUCUGAGAAAUCUCCGUCAGUUGUAUGACACUCUGAAGACCAUGAGUUUCAACUUGCAUUAAAAAUGCCAGAAAGGAUCAAGAUAGAACAUAGUCCUGAAAUGUUCAGGUGGCUAGAUGGAAGAAUUAGAAAUCUCACCAAAACGCCCGUCCAGCGCUCGGCCAAUUUUGCAGACCAGCUCUUGCCAGGGCUUACCCAAACCCCUCUGAAAUUCCAUCCGAAGUCUUUGAAGCCCUUCU